rnacentral:lncRNA from 1 species
CCUGUGAAUAGUUAGGUAAUUCGCGAAUUAUUCACGAAUUAUUAAAAAUCCGAAUUAAACGAUCCGUUUACGAAUUUUUUUCAAAGAAAGAGAAUUAUUCGUGAAUUUUUGGACCAGUCGAAUUAUUCGCGAAUUAUUCACGAAUUAUUGAAAAUAUGAAUAAAAACUUAUAAUUUUUAUUUUUAAAUAUAAAUUAUCUUAUAUUUUAUAUCAUAUAUUUUAUAUUUUAUACCGAAUCCGUUUUUUAAGCCGAAUUUUUCAACGAAUUUAAAAAUUAGAAAACAAAUUUUAUGCGUAUUAUAUCAGUACCGAAUUUUUGCCGAAUCCGAAUUAACUAACUAUGCUUGUGAAGGGUGAUUAUCGUCAUCGCGCACAUCAUCAUCAUAUGAUCCUUCCAUAUGAAAUAAAUGAUGCUAUCUAUAUAUGUUGUGAGCACCAACUAAGAUUAAAAAGUUUUGAUGUGUUAUCCAACUGAUCGAUCGAAUAGAAAUUCAUUCAGGAACAGUUAUUACAGAUUGGAUCUAGUAUAAAGCCACAUAACACACUAGUAAAUAAAAUUUUAUAGGGUUUAUUUAUGUUUUUACUUUUGUUUCUACUUUCGGCUGCAAUUAGAUGCGACAGAGUAUUUGACAGUUAAGGAAAAAAAAAUAGAGAUUCAACUGUUGCGGAAAGUAGAAAUAUGAUCAAAAUAAAAAUCACAAUAGUAGAAAUAUGAUCAAAGUAAAAAUGGGAGCUCUAAUUUGAAGCUGACUACUUUAAUAUAAAACGAAGUUACUAUAGAAAAUUUCUUCUU